rnacentral:rRNA from 1 species
AAGCUCGUAGUUGAAUUUCGGGGUCAGUAGGUUGGUCGUGCCACUGGUAUGUACUGGUCUCACUGAUUCCUCCUUCCUGAUGAGCUGUAAUGCCAUUAAUUUGGUGUUGCAGGGAAUCUGGACUGUUACUUUGAAAAAAUUGAGUGUUUAAAGCAGGCUAACGCUUGAAUACAUUAGCAUGGAAUAAUGAAAUAGGACGUUCGAUCCUAUUUUGUUGGUUUCUAGGAUUGACGUAAUGAUUAAUAGGGAUAGUUGGG